GACGAACGCUGGCGGCGUGCUUAACACAUGCAAGUCGAACGGAAAGGCCCUGCUUUUGCGGGGUGCUCGAGUGGCGAACGGGUGAGUAACACGUGAGUAACCUGCCCUUGACUUUGGGAUAACUUCAGGAAACUGGGGCUAAUACCGGAUAGGAGCUCCUGCUGCAUGGUGGGGGUUGGAAAGUUUCGGCGGUUGGGGAUGGACUCGCGGCUUAUCAGCUUGUUGGUGUGGUAGUGGCUUACCAAGGCUUUGACGGGUAGCCGGCCUGAGAGGGUGACCGGCCACAUUGGGACUGAGAUACGGCCCAGACUCCUACGGGAGGCAGCAGUGGGGAAUAUUGCACAAUGGGCGGAAGCCUGAUGCAGCAACGCCGCGUGCGGGAUGACGGCCUUCGGGUUGUAAACCGCUUUCGCCUGUGACGAAGCGUGAGUGACGGUAAUGGGUAAAGAAGCACCGGCUAACUACGUG
rnacentral:rRNA from 1 species